AGUUAAUGAACUUGUUAUAAGUAUAUGUUUUGAAAACAUAAUAAAGAAAAAAUUUUUCUAUUAACUU
rnacentral:tRNA from 1 species